rnacentral:rRNA from 1 species
UACGGAGGGGGCUAGCGUUAUUCGGAAUUAUUGGGCGUAAAGGGCGCGUAGGCGGCCCGGUAAGUCAAAGGUGAAAUCCCUCGGCUCAACUGAGGAACUGCCUUUGAAACUGUCGGGCUUGAGGCCGGGAGGGGGUAGCGGAAUUCCCAGUGUAGCGGUGAAAUGCGUAGAUAUCGGGAGGAACACCAGUGGCGAAGGCGGCUUUCUGGUCUGCUCUUGACGCUGAGGCGCGAAAGCUAGGGUAGCAAACGGG